rnacentral:rRNA from 1 species
UACGGAAGGCAGCAGUGGGGAAUAUUGCACAAUGGGCGCAAGCCUGAUGCAGCCAUGCCGCGUGUAUGAAGAAGGCCUUCGGGUUGUAAAGUACUUUCAGCGGGGAGGAAGGCGAUGCGGUUAAUAACCGCGUCGAUUGACGUUACCCGCAGAAGAAGCACCGGCUAACUCCGUGCCAGCAGCCGCGGUAAUACGGAGGGUGCAAGCGUUAAUCGGAAUUACUAGGCGUAAAGCGCACGCAGGCGGUCUGUUAAGUCAGAUGUGAAAUCCCCGGGCUUAACCUGGGAACUGCAUUUUGAACUGGCAGGCUUGAGUCUUGUAGAGGGGGUAGAAUUCCAGGUGUAGCGGUGAAAUGCGUAGAGAUCUGGAGGAAUACCGGUGGCGAAGGCGGCCCCUGGGACAAAGCUGACGCUCAGGGUGCGAAAGCGUGGGGAGCGAAACAGGAUUAGAUACC